rnacentral:rRNA from 1 species
CACGUAGGGUGCGAGCGUUGUCCGGAAUUAUUGGGCGUAAAGAGCUCGUAGGCGGUUUGUCGCGUCGGCCGUGAAAUCUCCACGCUUAACGUGGAGCGUGCGGUCGAUACGGGCAGACUUGAGUUCGGCAGGGGAGACUGGAAUUCCUGGUGUAGCGGUGGAAUGCGCAGAUAUCAGGAGGAACACCGGUGGCGAAGGCGGGUCUCUGGGCCGAUACUGACGCUGAGGAGCGAAAGCGUGGGGAGCGAACAGG